AUGCAACUAGAUGAUGAUGAUGGCACAAUAAUGAAUAUCUUCUGGACCGAUGGACAAGCUAUCAUGGAUUACUCUGUCUUUGGAGAUGCCAUUUCCUUUGACACCACAUUUUCAACAAAUAAGUUUCAAAUGCCAUUCGCUCCGUUUAUUGGUGUUAAUUAUCACAAACAGACUAUUCUUUUUGGUGCAGCACUCUUAUAUAAUGAAACUACAGAUACCUUUGAGUGGGCUUUUAGAACCUUCCUACAAGCUAUGUCUGGUAAGCAGCCUGAAACAAUAUUCACCGAUCAAUGUGCUGCCGUUAUAAAUGCUAUUGGAAGGGUUUUUCCGGAAACACGACAUCGUCUUUGUUUAUGGCAUUUGUACCAGAAUGCCGCUAAACAUCUAAGCCAUGUAAUUAGCGACCAUCCUUUGUUCCUUAAAGAAUUCAAAAGAUGUGUGUAUGAAGAUAGAUCAGUGGCACAUUUUGAGAAUAGAUGGCAUGAGCUCUUGGUUAAGUACCAGAUUGGGGGAAAUUCUUGGAUAAACAAUCUGUACAAGUUGCGUGAGAAGUGGGCUACUAUUUAUCGUCGGGAAUCUUUUAGCGCAGACAUGACAUCAACACAAAGGAGUGAAGGAAUGAACAAUGUGUUCAAGAAAACUUUCCGCAAAAGAUUAUGCCUUUCAGAAUUGAUACAAGCAUAUGAGAAGUGCAUUGCUCGUCUUCGCCGGAAAGAAAAAUAUGAAGACUACAAGUCACGCCAUACCAACCCAGUACUCUGCCUACCUAGCCUACCUUUGUUGAAGACUGCAGCGGAAUCAUAUACCAGGACGCUCUAUUCCGAGUUCGAAGAAGAAUUCAAGAAGCAAUUUAGUUUGUCAUGUAUUUUGCUGAGCACUGAUUACACAGUUAGCACUUACAAGUUGACAUCUUUUGAAUACAAGAAUGAUGAAGCCAUAGUGGCUUUUAAUCCAACUACUUUGGAGAUAUGGUGUUCAUGCAAGUUGUAUUGCUGUAUAGGUAUAUUAUGCAAGCACACUCAUAAGGUUUUGACCUGCUGCAAUAUCAUCACCCUGCCAAGUCAGUUCAUAUUGAACAGAUGGACAAAACAUGCAAAACAAGAAAUUUUUACUUUCAAACCGAAUACCGAUGAUAGCCUAGACUCUAUGUUUGCACAUAAUUCUUGA
rnacentral:rRNA from 1 species